CCCUUUCGGGGGUAAGUAGAGUGGCGUCCGGGUGAGUAACACGUGGGUAAUCUGCCUUCGGGUGGGGAAUAACUCAGGGAAACUUGAGCUAAUACCGCAUAAUGCAGCGGCACCUAAUGGUGAUUAGUUGUUAAAGCGGGGGAUCGCAAGACCUCGCGCCUGAAGAGGAGCCUGCGGCAGAUUAGCUAGUUGGUAAGGUAAUGGCUUACCAAGGCUUCGAUCUGUAGCUGGUCUGAGAGGACGGCCAGCCACACUGGCACUGACACACGGGCCAGACUCCUACGGGAGGCAGCAGUGGGGAAUUUUGGGCAAUGGGCGAAAGCCUGACCCAGCAACGCCGCGUGAGGGAGGAAAUCCUUCGGGAUGUAAACCUCACAAGCAAGGGAAGAGAGCUACGGGCUGAGUAAUCCCGUAGUGCGACGGUACCUUGCGUAAGCCACGGCUAACUACGUGCCAGCAGCCGCGGUAAUACGUAGGUGGCAAGCGUUGUUCGGAAUUAUUGGGCGUAAAGGGCGCGUAGGCGGUUUGUUAAGUCGGCUGUGAAAGCCCGGGGCUCAACCCCGGAGGGUCAGCCGAUACUGGCAGACUAGAGUACGGAAGAGGUAGCUGGAAUUCCCGGUGUAGCGGUGAAAUGCGUAGAUAUCGGGAGGAACACCUGAGGCGAAGGCGGGCUACUGGGCCGAUACUGACGCUGAUGCGCGAAAGCCAGGGGAGCGAACGGGAUUAGAUACCCCGGUAGUCCUGGCCCUAAACGAUGGACACUUGGUGUGUCGGGUAUUCCAGUCCCGAUGUGCCGGAGCUAACGCGUUAAGUGU
rnacentral:rRNA from 1 species